rnacentral:rRNA from 1 species
UCGAACGGUAACGACACUAGCUUGCUAGUGGUCGACGAGUGGCGGACGGGUGAGUAACGCGUAGGAAUCUACCUAGUAGUGGGGGAUAGCCAAGGGAAACUUUGGGUAAUACCGCAUACGAUCUAAGGAUGAAAGGGGGCCUCUCUUUGAAGCUCUCGCUAUUAGAUGAGCCUGCGUAAGAUUAGCUUGUUGGUGGGGUAAUGGCCCACCAAGGCGACGAUCUUUAGCUGGUCUGAGAGGAUGAUCAGUCACACUGGAACUGAGACACGGUCCAGACUCCUACGGGAGGCAGCAGUCGGGAAUAUUGGACAAUGGGGGAAACCCUGAUCCAGCCAUGCCGCGUGUGUGAAGAAGGCCCUAGGGUUGUAAAGCACUUUUAGUAGUGAGGAAGGCUCAGUAGUUAAUACCUACUGGGAUUGACGUUAGCUACAGAAAAAGCACCGGCUAAUUUCGUGCCAGCAGCCGCGGUAAUACGAAAGGUGCAAGCGUUAAUCGGAAUUACUGGGCGUAAAGCGCGCGUAGGCGGCUUGGUAAGUUGGAUGUGAAAGCCCCGGGCUCAACCUGGGAACUGCAUCCAAAACUGCCUAGCUAGAGUAUGGUAGAGGAUGGCGG